rnacentral:rRNA from 1 species
UUCCGGUUGAUCCUGCCGGACCUGACUGCUAUCGGAUUGAUACUAAGCCAUGCGAGUCAUUGCAGCAAUGCAAGGCGGACGGCUCAGUAACACGUAGUCAAUCUACCCUGUGGACGGGGAUAAUCUCGGGAAACUGAGCAUAAUACCCGAUAGACCAUUAUGCCUGGAACGGUUUAUGGUUAAAAUGAUUCGUCGCCACAGGAUGGGACUGCGGCCUAUUAGCUUGUUGGUGAGUUAACGGCCCACCAAGGCGAUAACAGGUACGGGCUCUGAGAGGAGAAGCCCGGAGAUGGGUACUGAGACACGGACCCAGGCCCUAUGGGGCGCAGCAGGCGAGAAAACUUUGCAAUGUGCGAAAGCACGACAAGGUUAAUCCGAGUGGCCUCUGCUGAAGAGGUCUUUUGACAGUCCUAGAAACACUGUCGAAUAAGGGGUGGGCAAGUUCUGGUGUCAGCCGCCGCGGUAAAACCAGCACCUCAAGUGGUCAGGAUGAUUAUUGGGCCUAAAGCAUCCGUAGCCGGAUCUGUAAGUUUUCGGUUAAAUCUAUGCGCUCAACGUAUAGGCUGCCGGAAAUACUGUGGAUCUAGGGAGUGGGAGAGGUAGACGGUACUCGGUAGGAAGAGGUAAAAUUCACUAAUCUAUCGAUGACCACCUGUGGCGAAGGCGGUCUACCAGAACACGUCCGACGGUGAGGGAUGAAAGCUGGGGGAGCAAACCGGAUUAGAUACCCGGGUAGUCCCAGCUGUAAACAAUGCAAACUCAAUGAUGCAUCGGGUUGAACCCGGUGCAGUGUUGCAGGGAAGCCGUUAAGUUUGCCGCCUGGGAAGUACGUACGCAAGUAUGAAACUUAAAGGAAUUGGCGGGGGAGCACCACAAGGGGUGAAGCCUGCGGUUCAAUUGGAUUCAACGCCGGG